AUGGCGGCGGUGAGCGAGAGAGCGGAGAGACAAACAAACGCAGGAUUUUGCAGCAGGGGAUACUGUUUGAUAUCAGUUGGUUUUCCUGCCACUCUAAAUGCCCCACAUCAAGGGUUUUCUACCCACCUCCACAUCUGGUAUUAUAAAUUAGUCAGCCACGCGGCCCUUGGAACCGGCUGGGAUUGGCCAGUUACUCUGUCAGGAGCUGGCCGAAAGAAAAUUCUUAUAGAGAGUCAUAAGAUCCUUGUUCAAGAAAAGUCUGACCUAUACCUUCUAGGAAGGAGUACCACACAGAUAUGGGAAGAAGAAUCUGGACAAACAUUCUUGCAUUCUCUUUCCACCAUCUACUACCAUCAUAUUUCUAAAAGGCCAUACAGUCUUCAAACCAAAAGCAUAAAAAAUCAAAACCAAAACACAAAAAAUUUAUCCCCUGGGUCUUGGGUCUUCAUUUCUGAAUGUCCCUUCAUCAUGUAAAACUGCAAAUAGGUAAAUUUGUUGUUUGUCUAUUAUUAAUUUAUCUUUAUUUUGAUGCUCUCAGCUAUGAUCCUUAUAAUGGAUGAGGAAAGAUACAACACUUCACUGGCCCUACAUCAAUGGAAAUAAUUGUAUUUCUAAUUACAUUAGAGAUAAUUAGCAAAUAUACUUCUAUGGCCUGCUUGAGUAGAUUUUUAAAAGUGACACCAGAUAUAGUAUAAUAAUUUCAAAAUUCUUUUAUGUGUAUUUUAAGAUUUAUAUAAUAAGUAAAUAUACUAAUGGAAAUGGGAAUAACUCUUACUAUAUCGUAGAAACCACUCACUAGUAAAAUUGCUUUGGGAACAGUGUAUCACAUUGUUUCAAAUGUUCUGUCCAAGACCAUUAUUAUUUAUAAAAAGAGUUAAAAAGUACAUUUCACCAAGAAAUUUGAUUGAUACCAUUACAUGAUCAAGCCAUCAAACUUAGGACUGUAUCCCUAGUGAUAGUAUAAAAUGUCUCAAAAUACAUUUAGAAGAGUAUAAC
rnacentral:lncRNA from 1 species